UACGGGGGGGGCUAGCGUUGUUCGGAAUUACUGGGCGUAAAGGGCGCGUAGGCGGCCUACUAAGUCGGACGUGAAAUCCCUCGGCUCAACCGGGGAACUGCGUCCGAUACUGGUGGGCUCGAAUCCGGGAGAGGGAUGUGGAAUUCCAGGUGUAGCGGUGAAAUGCGUAGAUAUCUGGAGGAACACCGGUGGCGAAGGCGGCAUCCUGGACCGGCAUUGACGCUGAGGCGCGAAAGCCAGGGGAGCAAACGGG
rnacentral:rRNA from 1 species